CUAGCCAGCGCCUCAGCUCGGCGCUCGGGGGCUGUUUCAAACCGUGAAAUCGCCAGAAAUCAGCGCAGGAAUGUGGACAACACAGCACCAGGUGGACGUGAAAGGACACUUGGUACAGGGUGAGCCGAGACAAGAAAGAAGAGCGGCGCCUGCUUCAGCCUCAGCCGAGACCCUGAACAUCAGGUGACUCAAAUUUUUGCCCCUCUGCACGCACCCUGGAACGACCUGGGAAAUGUCACGAGCAAGUUUCAGCAGGUAUGUGACAGACCGCUGCGUGCAUGCUGACUCAAACGGUUCUACAUAAAAAAGCUGUGAAGAAAUCCAAAAAAGGCCCUGCUUUGCCCAUGUGGGUUAGACUCACUGUAUCUGAGCCUGGAAGAAUUUCCAUGGGUUGGAGAUCCACUAAGGAGAAAAAGCAAGAUGUGACAGAGAAUGAGAUGGCAAAGCCCAGAGCAAGUGAGUCUUGGGCUAGCCUCAAAGAUGCGCCCCGGAAGACAGAAAAACUGCAGAGCUGCUGGACAUUGCGGGAGCAUGCAGGGUUGAUAAAGGACAGUGUGAGGGGCCACUGUGACACACCCUGGAUCCGAUGCCUGACCCAAUUUCCUGCCAUCACAUAGGCUACACCGAAUGCACGGGGCCCAGAUAGCCAAGACCUACAAAAUAGGGCCAUCUGACGUAUACACACCUCUGUACACCUGCCCACCUUAAAGUUACUUCUAGAACUAAAGAGAGGAUGGAGGUGGCCAUAAGAUUUGUGAACUGCUGCUCCAUGUGAGGGGUGGGGGCGGCGGGGGCAGCUUGCCACCAGCCUGUGAGGUUGAAUUCAUCAGGGUCCAAGUCAGGUUCAUUCAUCACGAAAUAAA